UAACGCGUGGGUAACCUGCCCUAUACACAUGGAUAACAUACUGAAAAGUUUACUAAUACAUGAUAAUAUAUAUUUACGGCAUCGUAGAUAUAUCAAAGUGUUAGCGGUAUAGGAUGGACCCGCGUCUGAUUAGCUAGUUGGUGAGAUAACUGCCCACCAAGGCGACGAUCAGUAGCCGACCUGAGAGGGUGAUCGGCCACAUUGGAACUGAGACACGGUCCAAACUCCUACGGGAGGCAGCAGCU
rnacentral:rRNA from 1 species